rnacentral:rRNA from 1 species
GAUGAACGCUGGCGGCGUGCCUAAUACAUGCAAGUCGAGCGAACAGACGAGGAGCUUGCUCCUCUGACGUUAGCGGCGGACGGGUGAGUAACACGUGGAUAACCUACCUAUAAGACUGGGAUAACUUCGGGAAACCGGAGCUAAUACCGGAUAAUAUAUUGAACCGCAUGGUUCAAUAGUGAAAGACGGUUUUGCUGUCACUUAUAGAUGGAUCCGCGCCGCAUUAGCUAGUUGGUAAGGUAACGGCUUACCAAGGCAACGAUGCGUAGCCGACCUGAGAGGGUGAUCGGCCACACUGGAACUGAGACACGGUCCAGACUCCUACGGGAGGCAGCAGUAGGGAAUCUCCGCAAUGGGCGAAAGCUUGACGGAGCAACGCCGCGUGAGUGAUGAAGGUCUUCGGAUCGUAAAACUCUGUUAUUAGGGAAGAACAAAUGUGUAAGUAACUAUGCACGUCUUGACGGUACCUAAUCAGAAAGCCACGGCUAACUACGUG